GGCCUGAUAGCACACAACCGGUAGUGCAUCUACUCAAAAUUCGCUUUCGUCGUUGCUUAAGCAGAAGACCCUCGUUCGAUUCGGGGUCAGGUCA